AUCCUUUUGUGGUUCAGAAGCGAGAUGAUUGGGUGUUCACACCUGUGCGUGACAUGUGCCUCCCUCCUGGCACAGUACCCGUCUGACG
rnacentral:snoRNA from 1 species